rnacentral:rRNA from 1 species
AUAGGUAGGGGGCGAGCGUUGUCCGGAAUGAUUGGGCGUAAAGGGAGCGUAGGCGGCCCGGCAAGUCUGCAGCGGAAGUCCUGUUUUUAAGAUGGGAAUUGCUUUGGAUACGGUCGGGCUUAAGUGCAGGAGAGGACAGUGGAAUUCCCAGUGUCUCGGUGACAUGCGUAGAGCUUGGGAGGAACACCAGUGGCGAAGGCGACUUACUUGACUGUAACUCACGCUGAAGCGUGAAAGUGUGGGGAGCAAACAGGAUGAGAGACCUAAGUAGUCCACACUGUAACCGAUGUAUGCGAUGCGUAGGUGGUAUCGGCCCCUUCUGUGCCGCAGUCAUCAAAAUAAGCAUUCCUCCCGGGGAGUACUGCCGCAAGGUUGAAACACAAAUGAAUUGACGGGG